ensembl:lncRNA MIR4432HG MIR4432 host gene
AGUUCUAAGAGAUGUCUCAAUCCAGAGGUUUGGAAAUUGAGCCUUUCAAGAAUCACAGCGUGUAGGUCUUGGGAAGGACCUAGAGAUGAUGCUGUCUAGAUUUCCCCAGCCUUCUCUUUGAACUUGACCUUCAACCGCUGGAUCUUGAACCAGAAAACAGUUGAAAGGACAUAGUGGAGACAGCGUGGGAUCAAGCAUGAAGACUGAGCUAUGUGCUGACGAGGACUUUCACCUGGGAGAAGAGCUCAUUCUUCCUAUCGUUUCCCUGGGAAGAACAUGGCUGAAACAACUUACUGUACAGACCACAGAAGUGAGACCAAAAACACUGAGAUGAGGAAGAGGUGUGGCAAAAUGGCUUUGUUGUGGUGGAAGAUGAAUUGUCGUCUCAAGGGGGCAGAGGACUGCCUGUGAGCUUCCUUAACAUGGAGCCCGAAACCGGUGUUUGCACAGUCCUUGAGGAAAGGGUUUGCUCAGCAAAUUAACAGUGUGAACAAGACUGCAGGAGGGACCAUUUACCUACCUGAGAACAAACUGUUUUCUAGCUCUUCAGCAGCACCACUUACGCACAAUUUUCAUGUGCUAAUGGCAAGUGAUUAUUACCUAGUUAGUGAAUAUACGUGGAAGACAUAAAAUAGCCUUUACUAUCCCCUGGUUGAGACAACUCGCUAACUCAGACUUGCCAGGUGCUCUGAAUUAGAGAGGUGCUACAGGAAUGUCCUCUCGGAUUUUUGGCGUUGAGCAUGCAUGCAUGUGAGCAGGGUGCCAUUUCUUCAGAAGAAAAAUAAAUGACAACAUUCUGUUUUGGGGCUUGAAACUGCAUGACUGAAAACAUAAAGGUGACAACUGUGAUAUGCUUUUUUAAUGAGGGCAGAGAUGUCAAGAGAAACCAGCCUUCUAGGAACAAAAGAAUACUCUGUCAGGCCCGACUCCCAGUUCCAGCCUGAACACUGGUCAGCUGAAGACAACGCUGCCACCUUCAUCUCUUCCCUGCCUGUCCUGCUUACAACAGUUGCAAGAAGUUUAUACCCACAUUAAGCCCCCAGAGGCAGGCUGGCAGCCAGCCUUCGCCACUGGUGCAGAGAACUGAGUCAACCACCCGGUGUUCCUGGCUGCUCCCCCUGAGAAGCUUUCCCACCCUGUUCCCUGAGUCGAGAGUCUUGGCUGGGCACCUGCUGCACUGUGGACGUGCGGACGCGGCCUCCAGAAGGGGGAAGGGAGCCCUGGCUGGCUUCUCUGAGACGUGUUGAGUGGCUUGCCAUUGAAGACUGUUUCCUCACUCAGGCAGCUGCAUGCCCCAAGUGAGUGACUUCCUCUCUCUGGACUCAGUUUCUGAAUCUGUAGACAAAGAGGGUGGACCAGAUGGUCUUGGAGGUGCCUUCCAGGUCACAUCUCUCCUGUUUCUAACAGCAGGUGGAAGCAGACUUAUUUUGCAACUGGCUUCAAACAAUUUGAAGAAAGGGUCAUGGCUUUCCCUUCAGCAGAGUUUGGGAUCUGAACACUGCGUUGCCCCCAAAUGUCUGCCUCUUGAGAGUUCUCCACCCAGUGGUCCUGCUUGCGUCUUUGGAGGACGGUAGCAGUGCGCUCAGUGGAGGCCACGGGUGCCUCAGAGGGAUUUCUCUUGGACCUCCUGCCCUACCCCAGCUUCGGCGUUGCACUUGGAGAAGGCCCUGGAUAUCUCAGGGUGAUCUUCAUGCUCAUUCCAUGGCUAGAAUGGAAGUGAUUUCCAGGACCACCUUGAGAGCCAUGUGUUGAAG